GCGAUGCUGGCAGCUGUAGCAGCAGCGGGGCUUUUUAGCCUUGCUCUUCGUUUGGAUCGGCUGCGGGUCACCAUUGUCUGGGCCAGCCUAGGACGUUUUUGCCGCAUGAGACAAAAUAGAAAGGGCUGCUGCUUCCUCUGCAGCGCCCCCCGCCACCACUUUUCAGCAGCCGCAGCCACCUGAGGCAACUGGAGGUGGUCUGGAAAAGGCCCAGCAUGCUGAAGGUGGUGGUGGGGGGUAAAAGAAAGCCAGAGAGGAGCAGCCUGUGAGCAGAGGAGGCGGCGGCCGACAAGGACAGGAAGCGGUGGGCGACAUGCUCCUCAGAGGCUGGAUCUGUCACAUGAGUUGACUGCUUCACCAGUCCUCAUGGGUGGGCUGGCCCAUGUGCAGAUGAAAGUUUCAUUGAAUUGGAAUGGGUGGGGAGUAGCAGGUAAUGCACAUUGGUUGAAGACAUCCCUGCUUCCUCUCCUGUGUGUACAGCAACAUAAAAAUGUGAUUUGGAAAUGUUGCAAAGAAAACCAUGUCACUGCUUUUCAAGCCAUGAAUGUGUGUAUGUAUCCUGAUUUAGUAUAUUUUUACAUAAAAAGUGAACAAUUUUUUUUGCUGCUACUUUAAAGAUCUGAGCAUCAUCUCCUUACAUUUUGUUACAGUAUAAUGAUGAGGUGUAUGCUUGAUUCCAUUUCUCCAAAAAGUAAUUUUGUUGGGAAUGUUGAAAAUAAAACUGCAUUUAUCCAUUGA